UAGCGCCUCGUGAAUUCAUCUCCGGGGGUAGAGCACUGUUUCGGCAAGGGGGUCAUCCCGACUUACCAACCCGAUGCAAACUGCGAAUACCGGAGAAUGUUAUCACGGGAGACACACGGCGGGUGCUAACGUCCGUCGUGAAGAGGGAAACAACCCAGACCGCCAGCUAAGGUCCCAAAGUCAUGGUUAAGUGGGAAACGAUGUGGGAAGGCCCAGACAGCCAGGAUGUUGGCUUAGAAGCAGCCAUCAUUUAAAGAAAGCGUAAUAGCUCACUGGUCGAGUCGGCCUGCGCGGAAGAUGUAACGGGGCUAAACCAUGCACCGAAGCUGCGGCAGCGACGCUUAUGCGUUGUUGGGUAGGGGAGCGUUCUGUAAGCCUGUGAAGGUGUGCUGUGAGGCAUGCUGGAGGUAUCAGAAGUGCGAAUGCUGACAUAAGUAACGAUAAAGCGGGUGAAAAGCCCGCUCGCCGGAAGACCAAGGGUUCCUGUCCAACGUUAAUCGGGGCAGGGUGAGUCGACCCCUAAGGCGAGGCCGAAAGGCGUAGUCGAUGGGAAACAGGUUAAUAUUCCUGUACUUGGUGUUACUGCGAAGGGGGGACGGAGAAGGCUAUGUUGGCCGGGCGACGGUUGUCCCGGUUUAAG
rnacentral:rRNA from 1 species